UACAGAGGGGGCAAGCGUUGUUCGGAAUUACUGGGCGUAAAGGGCGCGUAGGCGGCCUGCUAAGUCGAACGUGAAAUCCCCGGGCUCAACCCGGGAACUGCGUCCGAGACUGGCGGGCUUGAAUCCGGGAGAGGGAUGCGGAAUUCCAGGUGUAGCGGUGAAAUGCGUAGAUAUCUGGAGGAACACCGGUGGCGAAGGCGGCAUCCUGGACCGGCAUUGACGCUGAGGCGCGAAAGCCAGGGGAGCAAAGCGGG
rnacentral:rRNA from 1 species